UACGAAGGGGGCUAGCGUUGUUCGGAAUUACUGGGCGUAAAGCGCACGUAGGCGGAUUGUUAAGUUAGGGGUGAAAUCCCAGGGCUCAACCCUGGAACUGCCUUUAAUACUGGCAAUCUAGAGUCCGAGAGAGGUGAGUGGAAUUCCGAGUGUAGAGGUGAAAUUCGUAGAUAUUCGGAGGAACACCAGUGGCGAAGGCGGCUCACUGGCUCGGUACUGACGCUGAGGUGCGAAAGCGU
rnacentral:rRNA from 1 species